GUUCUCCCUUCUGGGACAUCCAAUAAAAUUGGAAGGAGACACAGAAGAUUAGCAUGGCCCCUGUGCAAGGAUGACAUGCACAAAUCGAGAAAUGGUUCUAAUUUUU
rfam:Capsicum annuum cultivar Zunla-1 chromosome 2, whole genome shotgun sequence